AUUGAACGCUGGCGGCAGGCUUAACACAUGCAAGUCGAGCGGGGAAAAGUAGCUUGCUACUUGACCUAGCGGCGGACGGGUGAGUAAUGCUUAGGAAUCUGCCUAUUAGUGGGGGACAACAUCUCGAAAGGGAUGCUAAUACCGCAUACGUCCUACGGGAGAAAGCAGGGGACCUUCGGGCCUUGCGCUAAUAGAUGAGCCUAAGUCGGAUUAGCUAGUUGGUGGGGUAAAGGCCUACCAAGGCGACGAUCUGUAGCGGGUCUGAGAGGAUGAUCCGCCACACUGGGACUGAGACACGGCCCAGACUCCUACGGGAGGCAGCAGUGGGGAAUAUUGGACAAUGGGGGGAACCCUGAUCCAGCCAUGCCGCGUGUGUGAAGAAGGCCUUUUGGUUGUAAAGCACUUUAAGCGAGGAGGAGGCUACCGAGAUUAAUACUUUUGGAUAGUGGACGUUACUCGCAGAAUAAGCACCGGCUAACUCUGUGCCAGCAGCCGCCGUAA
rnacentral:rRNA from 1 species